GACGAACGCUGGCGGCGUGCUUAACACAUGCAAGUCGAACGGAAAGGCCCUGCUUUUGUGGGGUGCUCGAGUGGCGAACGGGUGAGUAACACGUGAGUAACCUGCCCUUGACUUUGGGAUACCUUCAGGAACCUGGGCCUAAUACCGGAUAGGAGCUCCUGCUGCUUGGUGGGGGUUGGAAGUUUUGGGGGUUUGGGGCGGGCUCCCGGGCUUUUCAGCUUGUGGGGGGGGUUGGGCUUCCCCAGGCUUUUGCGGGUAGCCGGGCCGGGAGGGGGACCGGCCACAGUGGGACUGAGAUACGGCCCAGACCCCUACGGGGGGGAGCAGUGGGGAAUAUUGCACAAUGGGCGGAAGCCUGAUGCAGCAACGCCGCGUGCGGGAUGACGGCCUUCGGGUUGUAAACCGCUUUCGCCUGUGACGAAGCGUGAGUGACGGUAAUGGGUAAAGAAGCACCGGCUAACUACGUG
rnacentral:rRNA from 1 species